CUUACACUUAGUAAAGUAUUGUGCUUAAGUACAAAUUAAAGAGUACUUGUUCUUGUUCUGAGUACUUGCUCUGCUUGCAUUGCGGUCGAAUAAACUACAAUACACAGGUGGUCAUCCUU